rnacentral:rRNA from 1 species
UACGAAGGGUGCAAGCGUUACUCGGAAUUACUGGGCGUAAAGCGUGCGUAGGUGGUGAGUUGAAGUCUGAUCCGGUGAAACGCCCGGGACCUCGACCUGGGAAUGGCGAUGGUAACUGGCUCGCUAGAGUGCGGUAGAGGAGAGUGGAAUUCCCGGUGUAGCAGUGAAAUGCGUGGAUAUCGAUAGGAACACUCGUGGCGAAGGCGAGCUACUGACAACAUCUGACGCUGAGGCUCGAAGGCCAGGGAGCAAAAGGG